AGUGAACGCUGGCGGUAGGCCUAACACAUGCAAGUCGAACGGCAGCACAGUAAGAGCUUGCUCUUACGGGUGGCGAGUGGCGGACGGGUGAGGAAUACAUCGGAAUCUACUUUUUCGUGGGGGAUAACGUAGGGAAACUUACGCUAAUACCGCAUACGACCUACCGGUGAAAGCAGGGGAUCUUCGGACCUUGCGCGAUUGAAUGAGCCGAUGUCGGAUUAGCUAGUUGGCGGGGUAAAGGCCCACCAAGGCGACGAUCCGUAGCUGGUCUGAGAGGAUGAUCAGCCACACUGGAACUGAGACACGGUCCAGACUCCUACGGGAGGCAGCAGUGGGGAAUAUUGGACAAAGGGCGCAAGCCUGAUCCAGCCAUACCGCGUGGGUGAAGAAGGCCUUCGGGUUGUAAAGCCCUUUUGUUGGGAAAGAAAAGCAGCAGGUUAAUACCCCGCUGUUCUGACGGUACCCAAAGAAUAAGCACCGGCUAACUUCGUG
rnacentral:rRNA from 1 species